CAGGGCCGGAUCCUGCCGCCAUCCGAGGCUCGCAAGACCGCCGCCGCAGCGCUCCCGCCUCCCCGCGACUUCCUCGCCUACCUCGAGGCCUAUCUGGCCCGCCACGACGGCGUCGACAAGCUCCUUAAGAUCUCACACUACGCUACGCGCCUCGCCCUCGGCCCCUCGCUGCAGGGCCUCUGCCCCGCAGGCCUCCGCGCGCCUCAAGUCCUUCGAGUCCAGCCUCGGCCUCAGACGCAAGGCCUUCCGCCUCAGCAAGUUCGUCCAGACGUCAACGCCCUCCGCGCGCACUCCGGCCCCCUCCCUCUGCCCUUCGUGCUCCUCGCCUACGGCGGCGAGGGCGUCUACUACAUCAUCGGGCAGUUCGUCUGGCUCGCGAAAGCUGCCCUCCUCCCGGCGCAGCUCCUCCCCCGCCUUCAGCGCCUCAGCGCCUGGGCCGAGCUGCUGGGUUACGUCGGCUCCAACACCAUCAAGCUGGAAGUGGUGAUGAAGAUGGAGUCUUCAAUCAAGAUGCGGCUGGCGGAGGGUUGUGGGGAGGAGAACGAGGCGGCGAGGACGAUGAGAGGGAAGCUGCUGCUGAAGCGUCUGUCCAUUGUGCAGGACGUGGCGGAUGCCUUCAUGGUGCUAGGGGACGUGACUAACGGGAAGGGGUUGCUCGGUAGCUCCACGCUGACGGCGUCCGCCGGAUUGCUGCUGGCCCUGAUCAGCACGCACAAGAACUGGAUGGAAUUCUUGCUGAAGUCCCAAGAUGCCGAUGUUGGUGGUAUGGGUGGAAUUCUUGAUGAUGCAUUUGUUGGUUGGAGAACACUGAUGCUGCUCAUGAUUAAUUUCACCAUUAUCAUUAUAGAUAUUUCAUUUUGUGAAAAAUAA
rnacentral:rRNA from 1 species